AAUAGAUACCCGGGUAGUCCACGCCGUAAACGAUGUCGACUUGGAGGUUGUUCCCUUGAGGAGUGGCUUCCGGAGCUAACGCGUUAAGUCGACCGCCUGGGGAGUACGGCCGCAAGGUUAAAACUCAAAUGAAUUGACGGGGGCCCGCACAAGCGGUGGAGCAUGUGGUUUAAUUCGAUGCAACGCGAAGAACCUUACCUACUCUUGACAUCCACGGAACUUAGCAGAGAUGCUUUGGUGCCUUCGGGAACCGUGAGACAGGUGCUGCAUGGCUGUCGUCAGCUCGUGUUGUGAAAUGUUGGGUUAAGUCCCGCAACGAGCGCAACCCUUAUCCUUUGUUGCCAGCGGUUAGGCCGGGAACUCAAAGGAGACUGCCAGUGAUAAACUGGAGGAAGGUGGGGAUGACGUCAAGUCAUCAUGGCCCUUACGAGUAGGGCUACACACGUGCUACAAUGGCGCAUACAAAGAGAAGCGACCUCGCGAGAGCAAGCGGACCUCAUAAAGUGCGUCGUAGUCCGGGUUGGAGUCUGCAACUCGACU
rnacentral:rRNA from 1 species